rnacentral:rRNA from 1 species
UACAUCGGAACGUGCCCAAUCGUGGGGGAUAACGUAGCGAAAGCUACGCUAAUACCGCAUAAGAUCUACGGAUGAAAGCGGGGGAUUCGCAAGAACCUCGCGCGAGUGGAGCGGCUGAUGGCAGAUUAGGUAGUUGGUGAGGUAAAGGCUCACCAAGCCUUCGAUCUGUAGCUGGUCUGAGAGGACGACCAGCCACACUGGGACUGAGACACGGCCCAG